rnacentral:lncRNA from 1 species
UCAGGUGAUGGUGCAGGAGCCGUGUCAUCAUCAGAAGAAGUUACUACAGGUGGGGACGGUGGGCUAGGAGGUUUCGGCGCUGGAGCUGGGGCAUGAUGAUGAUGCCUCUUGUGCUUGUGGGAUCUCUUUUUCUUGUGCUUGGAUGGAGCAGGAGCAGGUACAAGCACUAAUGGAGUUGGCGCUGGAGGUGGAAUAGCCGGUGCAGGCACUGGCGCUGGAGGGGGCACAAGUGGUGCUGGUGCAGGCGCUGGAGGGGGCACAAGUGGUGCUGGUGCAGGUACUGCAGGAGGUAAAGCCGGUGGUGGCGUUGCAGGAGCUGGAGGUAAAGCAGGUGGUGGUGUUGCUGGGGCAAAUACAGGCGAUAGAGUAGGAGGAGGAGUUUGUGGUGGUGGAGCAAUUGGACUGGAAACCGGUGCUACCUUUGGAGAUGGUGGGGAGGAUGUAGGAGUGUUUGCCGGGAUCGGUGAUGCAGCUGGGGUUAUCGCCACUGGAGAAGGAGUAGUUGUGGUUGGUGGAGGAACGGUAGGCAAGGUAGAGGGUGAUGCUGCUGGUGAUUGGCCAUUGACAGCAGUGGCUAAGUGCAAACUUACCAUGCAACCCAAGAUGAAAACCUUGAGAAUGGAAGAAGCCAUGUUGCUGUGAAUGUGUAGUAAAUGAUAGAACUCACCAAUGGUGGGGUUAUAUAAUAUUGAGAAGGGACUGUUAAGAAGCUUUGGGGAGAAGGGAAAAGAAUGUUUGGUGAAACGUGGAGGGAGGGAAAGAUGUAAUCUUC